rnacentral:rRNA from 1 species
GACGAACGCUGGCGGCGUGCUUAACACAUGCAAGUCGAACGGAAAGGCCCUGCUUUUGCGGGGUGCUCGAGUGGCGAACGGGUGAGUAACACGUGAGUAACCUGCCCUUGACUUUGGGAUAACUUCAGGAAACUGGGGCUAAUACCGGAUAGGAGCUCCUGCUGCAUGGUGGGGGUUGGAAAGUUUCGGCGGUUGGGGAUGGACUCGCGGCUUAUCAGCUUGUUUGUGGGGUAGUGGCUUACAAAGGCUUUGACGGGUAGCCGGCCUGAGAGGGUGACCGGGCACCAUGCGACUGCGGGAGGGCGCAGUAGCCUACGGGACGCAGCAGGCGGGAGUCUUACGGAAUGGCGGGAAGCCAGAUGCGACGAUCUCGCGUUCGGAAUGCCCUCCUUCGAGUUAUAAACAGCUGUGGACUGUGCUGAACCGGGAGUGACGGUAAUUGAUCAAGAAGCACCGGCUAACUACGUG